CAAAACAUCGCCUUCUGAAGAAUUAUAGAAGGUCCAGCCUGCCCAGUGACUUAGUUAAACGGCCGCGGUACCCUAACCGUGCGAAGGUAGCACAAUCACUUGUUCUUUAAAUAAGGACUAGUAUGAAUGGCAUCACGAGGAUUAAACUGUCUCCCCCACCUAGUCAAUGAAACUGACCUCCCCGUGAAGAAGCGGGGAUAAAUAUAUAAGACGAGAAGACCCUAUGGAGCUUUAAACAUAACACCACCCACCUAAACCCAUUUCAUAAAAAACAGGUGAAGCUUGUGUGCGUUUUCAGUUGGGGUGACUGCGGAGCAAAAUAAAACCUCCACGAUGAAAUCCUCUAAUCCAAGAAUAACNAAUUCAAAGAAUCAACAAAUUGACAUCAAUUGACCCAAAUAAUAAUUUGAUCAACGAACUAAGUUACCCUAGGGAUAACAGCGCAAUCCACUUCAA
rnacentral:rRNA from 1 species